CCUACGGGAGGCAGCAGUGAGGAAUAUUGGUCAAUGGGCGAGAGCCUGAACCAGCCAAGUCGCGUGAAGGAUGACGGCCCUACGGGUUGUAAACUUCUUUUGUCAGGGAGCAAUUGAGUCCACGUGUGGUCUUAGCGAGAGUACCUGCAGAAAAAGCAUCGGCUAACUCCGUGCCAGCAGCCGCGGUAAUACGGAGGAUGCGAGCGUUAUCCGGAUUUACUGGGUGUAAAGGGAGCGUAGGCGGUGAUGCAAGUCAGAAGUGAAAGCCCCGGGCUCAACGUCGGGACUGCCUUUGAAACUGGCUGACUGGAGUGCAGGAGAGGUAAGCGGAAUUCCAGGUGUAGCGGUGAAAUGCGUAGAUAUCAGGAGGAACACCAGUGGCGAAGGCGGCUUACUGGACUGUAACUGACGUUGAGGCUCGAAAGCGUGGGGAGCAAACAGGAUUAGAUACCCGUGUAGUC
rnacentral:rRNA from 1 species